GAUGAACGCUGGCGGCGUGCCUAAUACAUGCAAGUCGAGCGAACAGACGAGGAUCUUGCUCCUCUGACGUUAGCGGCGGACGGGUGAGUAACACGUGGAUAACCUACCUAUAAGACUGGGAUAACUUCGGGAAACCGGAGCCAAUACCGGAUAACAUAUUGAAUGGCAGGGUUCAAUAGGUAAAGGCGGUUUUGCUUUCACUUAUAGAUUGACCCGCGCCGCAUUAGCUAGUUGGUAAGGUAACGGCUUACCAAGGCAACGAUGCGUAGCCGACCUGAGAGGGUGAUCGGCCACACUGGAACUGGGACACGGUCCAGAGUCCUGCGGGAGGCAGCAGUAGGGAAUCUUCCGCAAUGGGCGAAAGCCUGACGGAGCAACGCCGCGUGAGUGAUGAAGGUCUUCGGAUCGUAAAACUCUGUUAUUAGGGAAGAACAAAUGUGUACGUAACUGUGCACGUCUUGACGGUACCUAAUCAGAAAGCCACGGCUAACUACGUG
rnacentral:rRNA from 1 species